rnacentral:rRNA from 1 species
GAGCUCGUAGGCGGUUUGUCGCGUCUGCCGUGAAAGUCCGGGGCUCAACUCCGGAUCUGCGGUGGGUACGGGCAGACUAGAGUGAUGUAGGGGAGACUGGAAUUCCUGGUGUAGCGGUGAAAUGCGCAGAUAUCAGGAGGAACACCGAUGGCGAAGGCAGGUCUCUGGGCAUUAACUGACGCUGAGGAGCGAAAGCAUGGGGAGCGAACAGGAUUAGAUACCCUGGUAGUCCAUGCCGUAAACGUUGGGCACUAGGUGUGGGGGACAUUCCACGUUUUCCGCGCCGUAGCUAACGCAUUAAGUGCCCCGCCUGGGGAGUACGGCCGCAAGGCUAAAACUCAAAGGAAUUGACGGGGGCCCGCACAAGCGGCGGAGCAUGCGGAUUAAUUCGAUGCAACGCGAAGAACCUUACCAAGGCUUGACAUGAACUAGUAAGGCCUAGAGAUAGGUCCCCCACUUGUGGCUGGUUUACAGGUGGUGCAUGGUUGUCGUCAGCUCGUGUCGUGAGAUGUUGGGUUAAGUCCCGCAACGAGCGCAACCCUCGUUCUAUGUUGCCAGCGCGUUAUGGCGGGGACUCAUAGGAGACUGCCGGGGUCAACUCGGAGGAAGGUGGGGACGACGUCAAAUCAUCAUGCCCCUUAUGUCUUGGGCUUCACGCAUGCUACAAUGGCCGGUACAAAGGGUUGCGAUACUGUGAGGUGGAGCUAAUCCCAAAAAGCCGGUCUCAGUUCGGAUUGGGGUCUGCAACUCGACCCCAUGAAGUCGGAGUCGCUAGUAAUCGCAGAUCAGCAACGCUGCGGU